GAUGAACGCUGGCGGCGUGCCUAAUACGUGCAAGUCGAGCGAACAGACGAGGAGCUUGCUCCUUCGACGUUAGCGGCGGACGGGUGAGUAACACGUAGGUAACCUACCUAUAAGACUGGGAUAACUUCGGGAAACCGGAGCUAAUACCGGAUAAUAUUUCGAACCGCAUGGUUCGAUAGUGAAAGAUGGCUUUGCUAUCACUUAUAGAUGGACCUGCGCCGUAUUAGCUAGUUGGUAAGGUAACGGCUUACCAAGGCAACGAUACGUAGCCGACCUGAGAGGGUGAUCGGCCACACUGGAACUGAGACACGGUCCAGACUCCUACGGGAGGCAGCAGUAGGGAAUCUUCCGCAAUGGGCGAAAGCCUGACGGAGCAACGCCGCGUGAGUGAUGAAGGUCUUCGGAUCGUAAAACUCUGUUAUUAGGGAAGAACAAACGUGUAAGUAACUGUGCACGUCUUGACGGUACCUAAUCAGAAAGCCACGGCUAACUACGUG
rnacentral:rRNA from 1 species